CUCAGGACGAACGCUGGCGGCGUGCUUAACACAUGCAAGUCGAACGAUGAUCAGGAGCUUGCUCCUGUGAUUAGUGGCGAACGGGUGAGUAACACGUGAGUAACCUGCCCCUGACUCUGGGAUAAGCGUUGGAAACGACGUCUAAUACUGGAUAUGACCGCCGAUCGCAUGGUCUGGUGGUGGAAAGAUUUUUUGGUUGGGGAUGGACUCGCGGCCUAUCAGCUUGUUGGUGAGGUAAUGGCUCACCAAGGCGACGACGGGUAGCCGGCCUGAGAGGGUGACCGGCCACACUGGGACUGAGACACGGCCCAGACUCCUACGGGAGGCAGCAGUGGGGAAUAUUGCACAAUGGGCGAAAGCCUGAUGCAGCAACGCCGCGUGAGGGAUGACGGCCUUCGGGUUGUAAACCUCUU
rnacentral:rRNA from 1 species